rnacentral:rRNA from 1 species
AUUGAACGCUGGCGGCAGGCCUAACACAUGCAAGUCGAGCGGAUGAAGGGAGCUUGCUCCUGGAUUCAGCGGCGGACGGGUGAGUAAUGCCUAGGAAUCUGCCUGGUAGUGGGGGAUAACGUCCGGAAACGGGCGCUAAUACCGCAUACGUCCUGAGGGAGAAAGUGGGGGAUCUUCGGACCUCACGCUAUCAGAUGAGCCUAGGUCGGAUUAGCUAGUUGGUGGGGUAAAGGCCUACCGAGGCGACGAUCCGUAACUGGUCUGAGAGGAUGAUCAGUCACACUGGAACUGAGACACGGUCCAGACUCCUACGGGAGGCAGCAGUGGGGAAUAUUGGACAAUAGGCGAAAGCCUGAUCCAGCCAUGCCGCGUGUGUGAAGAAGGUCUUCGGAUUGUAAAGCACUUUAAGUUGGGAGGAAGGGCAGUAAGUUAAUACCUUGCUGUUUUGACGUUACCAACAGAAUAAGCACCGGCUAACUUCGUG